AAUGAACGCUGGCGGCGUGCUUAACACAUGCAAGUCAUACGAGAAAGCCUUGGCUUGCCAGGGCGAGUAAAGUGGCGCACGGGUGAGUAACGCGUGGGUAAUCUACCCUUGAAUCGGGGAUAACCCUUCGAAAGGGGGGCUAACACCGGAUGAUAUCGGUUUAUUUUUGGAUAUUUCGAUCAAAUGUGGCCUCUACAUGUAAGCUACAGUUUGAGGAUGAGCCCGCGUACCAUUAGCUAGUUGGUAGGGUAAAGGCCUACCAAGGCGACGAUGGUUAGCUGGUCUGAGAGGAUGAUCAGCCACACUGGAACUGACACACGGUCCAGACUCCUACGGGAGGCAGCAGUGAGGAAUUUUGCGCAAUGGGGGAAACCCUGACGCAGCAACGCCGCGUGAGUGAUGAAGGCUUUCGGGUCGUAAAGCUCUGUCAAGUGGGAAGAACCUACCUAUGGUUAAUACCCAUGGGUACUGACGGUACCACUGAAGGAAGCACCGGCUAACUCCGUGCCAGCCGCCGCAGUAAAAC
rnacentral:rRNA from 1 species